AUCCAGCUGGAGCGUUCCAAAUAGGACGAAACGCGCGUCCUGGAU
rnacentral:hammerhead_ribozyme from 1 species